rnacentral:rRNA from 1 species
GUCCACGCCGUAAACUAUGGAUGCUAGCUGUUAUGAGUAUCGACCCUCGUAGUAGCGAAGCUAACGCGUUAAGCAUCCCGCCUGUGGAGUACGAGCGCAAGCUUAAAACAUAAAGGAAUUGACGGGGACCCGCACAAGCGGUGGAGCGUGUUCUUUAAUUCGAAGGUAAGCGAAGAACCUUACCAAGGUUUGACAUCCUGCGAAUUUCUCCGAAAGGAGAGAGUGCUUUAUUGAGCGCAGUGACAGGUGUUGCAUGGCCGUCGU